AACGAACGCUGGCGGCAUGCCUAACACAUGCAAGUCGAACGAGACCUUCGGGUCUAGUGGCGCACGGGUGCGUAACGCGUGGGAACCUGCCCUUAGGUUCGGAAUAACUCCCCGAAAGGUGUGCUAAUACCGGAUAAUCUCUUCGGACCAAAGAUUUAUCGCCUUUGGAUGGGCCCGCGUUGGAUUAGCUAGUUGGUAGGGUAAAAGCCUACCAAGGCGACGAUCCAUAGCUGGUCUGAGAGGUUGAUCAGCCACACUGGGACUGAGACACGGCCCAGACUCCUACGGGAGGCAGCAGUGGGGAAUAUUGGACAAUGGGCGAAAGCGUGAUCCAGCAAUGCCGCGUGAGUGAUGAAGGCCUUAGGGUUGUAAAGCUCUUUUACCCGGGAUGAUAAUGACAGUACCGGGAGAAUAAGCUCCGGCUAACUACGUG
rnacentral:rRNA from 1 species